rnacentral:lncRNA from 1 species
CUGACUGCUUUCCAAAAAAUUACCCAGCCCCUGAAAAAAAUCACAAUUCCAAGCUUCAGUGAAGGUUUUCCCCACAUUUGUUAUAUAAAGGUGACAUUUAUCCAAAUGUGUCAAGUUUUAUAUGCUACUCAAAAUAGUGCAGAUAGGCGUACUUUUUGUAGACUAGGGAGGUAUGUAUACGUCAGUACAUUUAAAUCUACUCCUUUCACAGUUGGUCUUCUCAUUUUCUCUUGCUCACUAUCUCUUAUUCACCCCCCAACAAAGCCCUGUUUCCAAUUCUUUUUGUUGAGACUCUGGUGCCAGCCAGUGUUUGUCACUAUCUCCAUCUCCUUCUAUGGUCUUUUGUGUCUCUUUAUACCUGGAGUAGACAUGAAUCCUCCCCACUCAGCUUUCCCAGAACGUCACACUCUGGCUUCCCUUCUUCCAUGUCCCCGGAAGCCUGAGAGACCACAAUCCCAGAGGACCUGGGCCCCAUUCAUGUGCUCACCUGCUUGUGUCUGCCGGUUCCCUGAGUCCUUGCUUUCGCUGCAGGUUGCCUUUUGCUCUUUGCUCCUGUUUCAGCUCUUCUUAAUCAAGCG